rnacentral:lncRNA from 1 species
UAUGAAAUAUUUAAAACUGUUAUUGUUGCAAAAAUGAUUGGUGAGCGUAAGAGGCCGAGUGACGCCGGUCCAGCGUACUUCAGGUGGCGUAAGAGGCUAGUUUCACUAGUCCAGCGUAAAAGGCCAGAGAGUUGCCUAAUUGGGUGCCCAAUUGAUGUCCAGAGGGACUUUAUGUCCGGUAUGGGGACAUACGUGGCUGAUCACCCGUAUGGUCCAGAAGCGUCGAGUAAGGAUCCAAUCAUAAUGCUUAUUUUAAAUUUUAUGAAAAGAAUGUUUAUUUGGAAAAAGCUCUGAUGCGAN